rnacentral:rRNA from 1 species
CCUACGGGUGGCAGCAGUGAGGAAUAUUGGUCAAUGGGCGAGAGCCUGAACCAGCCAAGUCGCGUGAAGGAUGAAGGAUCUAUGGUUUGUAAACUUCUUUUAUAUGGGAAUAAAGUGCGGUACGUGUUCCUUUUUCUCUGUCCCAUAUGAAUAAGCAUGGGCUAACUCCGUGCCAGCAGCCGCCGUAAUACGGAGGAUGCGAGCGUUAUCCGGAUUUAUUGGGUUUAAAGGGGGCGUAGGUGGUUAAUUAAGCCAGCGGUGAAAGUUUGUGGCUCAACCAUAAAAUUGCCGUUGAAACUGGUUGACUUGAGUAUAUGUGAGGUAGGCGGAAUGCGUGGUGUAGCGGUGAAAUGCAUAGAUAUCACGCAGAACUCCGAUGGCGAAGGCAGCUUACUAAACUAUAACUGACACUGAAGCACGAAGGCGUGGGGAUCAAACAGGAUUAGAUACCCCGGUAGUC